rnacentral:rRNA from 1 species
UACGUAGGUGGCGAGCGUUGUCCGGAUUUACUGGGCGUAAAGGGCGCGUAGGCGGCCACCGCAAGUCGACUGUGAAAUCUCCGGGCUUAACCCGGAAAGGUCAGCCGAUACUGCGGGGCUAGAGUGCAGAAGGGGCAACUGGAAUUCUCGGUGUAGCGGUGAAAUGCGUAGAUAUCGAGAGGAACACCUGCGGCGAAGGCGGGUUGCUGGGCUGACACUGACGCUGAUGCGCGAAAGCUAGGGGAGCGAACGGG